UACAGAGGUCUCAAGCGUUGUUCGGAUUCAUUGGGCGUAAAGGGUGCGUAGGCGGCGCGGUAAGUCGGGUGUGAAAUCUUGGAGCUUAACUCCGAAACUGCAUUCGAUACUGCCGUGCUUGAGGACUGGAGAGGAGACUGGAAUUUACGGUGUAGCGGUGAAAUGCGUAGAUAUCGUAAGGAACACCAGUGGCGAAGGCGGGUCUCUGGACAGUUCCUGACGCUGAGGCACGAAGUCCACGGUAGCAAACGGG
rnacentral:rRNA from 1 species